rnacentral:lncRNA from 1 species
CUCUCUCUCCCUCUGGUUCUAUUUCUCCAUCCCUCUCUCCUUUGCUUUCCUUCUGUAGCAGGAGGAGCUGCAGACAAAACCCCUCAGACACCGAGUUGUAGAAGGAAGGGCUUUAUUCAGCUGGGAGCAUCAGCAGACUCACGUCUCCAAAAACUGAGCUCUCCUAGUGAGCAAUUCCUGUCCCUCUUAAGGGCUUACAACUCUAAGGGGGUCCGCGUGAGAGGGUCGUGAUGGAUUGAGGAAGCAGAGGACAACGAGAGCGAAACCACAGAGAAAAGAAACAUCCCGUGCAUCACGGCCUGACAAUGGAUUCCUGUUUCCUGUACAAUGUGGAGUCUCCAAUAUAGCCUGUUUGAAAACUGGAAAGGAGAGCACCGACACGAUGCUGGUCUUCCACGCAUUCCUGGAAGUUUCUGGGGCCCCACAGAGCUCGCGAAACAAACAGUCAACAUGGUCACGCUUUCGGGGGGCAGAAACUUGAGCAACAGGCACCUUUACAGAGGGCAAAGAAACGUGGAAUCCAGAAUCACGCUUCAGUUGGCCUGGGUGUGACUCCUGUGUGGAUGGGACUAUCUGCCUCGAGCUCUGUUGCAGGGCUCAACGUGGGGAUAUGUCAUCUGUGAACCAUGUGGAUGAAAAACAGACAACUACCUGAGUCUCGGCUCAUUGCUCUCUGGGGAAUUCGCUCAUUCCUUCGGAAACGGAAUUGGUCUGAAUUGCUCCGGGAUGAAGUAACCCAGGCUGGUGAUCCAGAGGGCCGCUGAGCGCCCCGCCGGCCAACGGGGCUGUGGGCCCAGCACUCAGCCUGUACUGGGCACCCAACAUAUUCCCGGAGUUCUGGGUCCUGUUGGUUCUGGAGGCAUAAGACAUUUUUUGUCUCUGCCUUCUGUUCUCUGUUUCUUGCUCCUUUUGUCUCUCCGUCCAUCCUUCCAUCUGUUCUACCCUCCCUCCCCUGGCUUUUUCCUCCCUUUCUCCCUCCCUCCCUCUUUCUCUCCCUUCCGGGGUCCCUCCUUCCACCCAUCCUUGCCUAGCUCCAUCCUUCCAUCUCACUCUGUCUCUGUUCCUGUCCUCAUCUCUGCCUGCCUUCCCUCUUGCCUGGAAAGGGCAGCACCCUGGUUUGCGCGAGGUCUCGGGUCUUUAUUUAGUUGUAAGGCGCUCUAUGGUGCUGGCGAGGAGGCUGGCGGGACACGGGUUGGCAAGUGAUGGUGAGCGAAGAGGCGGAGGAGUUGAGCCACAGAAAGGAGAACUGGCCUGGAUUCUGCCCCGGCCCAGUGUUUCGCGGACUGAGGUCUCCGCCAACCCGAUUGAAGAACGCGGGGGGGAAAGGGAGGAGAGCUCCGCCUGGGCUAGUUAGAAGACUAGGCUGCUGCCUGGAAACCCGCGCAUGCGCAGUAGACAGCCCACCUCCCUGUACCUGGACCGGCCCUGGGAUCCCCGGGAUGCUCAGGAAUGCUUUCUUUUCAUUGUUGACAGCCCUACUCUGUGUGGAGUCUCUCGCUGGACCUGGAACUCAGGGAUCCUAGGGAGGUCAGCUGGAAGGGAAGACACGCCUCUCCAUACCAAGCCUGAGGUUCACUGCAAAAGAGAGGCCGCCACCCUGCCCCAAACCCGCCCCAACCUGCUCCUCCAGCAGAGCCCUGUGUUCUUCCUGUCUGAGGAGUGGUUCCAGCAAAGCGGGCUCUUCCACGUCCUUCAGCUCCCCCAGUGGCGCCGGAUCUAGGAAAGGUUGUGCCUUUUGCUGAAACUCUGGGGUUGACAGGAGCUCAUCUAACAGGCUGGAGGUGAGUGCAGACGAGAGCCCCGGCUCCUGGAGCGGUUGGGAGGUGCCCGGUUGGCUGGCAUCUGCGCUUGACGCGGAGGCCUCCGGGGUCACGAGCUCGGGAGGUGAAGGUGCCCCGUCUUCGGGUUCCCAUGCCGCCCUGGCGACCUGGGGCUCCAGCCCCACCACGGACUCCGGUGGGACGUGGGUGGUGCAAGCACACCUUUCCCCUGUGACUCAGCUUGAGGGGCCCCAAGCUGUCCCACUGAGCACGCGCCCAGCAGGCCGUCGCGCUGUGGGUUCUGGUCUUCCUGUCAUUUGUUGGGGUUCGGAGGCCACCAGGGAGUCUGAGGAUGGGAGAGCCCCAGUUUCGGAGGGAGGGGCCAGGACAGUGAACACAAAGCCCCGCAUGCUCGGGCAGGUUGGGAGAGUCCUUCUGCCUGUGCAGCCUGGCUGGGCUGGAGCAGGGGGAUGACCCUUGCUUCCUGGCUCACGAAAGCCCCCUGUGGGAGAGCCCCAGGAGCGCAGGGCAUGUGGGGUGCAGGAAGCGACGUUCCCCACGCCCCGGUGUAGGUGAACCCGAUAGAGGAGGGAGGAGGGUGACACCCACCAGGGGUGCUAAUUAGUAACCACAGUGGCCUCAAAGAACUCAAAUGAAAGGAAGACUUGCAAGUCUCUCACUUUAAGUCCAGAGCUAGAAAUGAUUAAGCUUAGUGAAGAUGUAGAAUUUUCAUAGCUAGAGAGAAGUCAACACUUGGCUUCAGAACUUCAAAGGAUGGGCUGACUCUCUUUGAGGACCACUGCAGCUGGUGACUUUAGGUUACAGCCAGUGCUCAUUGACCACUCUGAAAAUCUCAGGGCCCUUAAGAAUUAUGCAAAAUCUAUUCUUUCUGUGCUCUAGAAAUGGAACAUCACUGUCUGGGUGACAGCACAUCUGUUAAUAGCAUGGUUUACUGAAUAUUUUAAUCCCACUAUUGAGACCUACUGCUCAGAAAAAAAAAAAAAA